GACGAACGCUGGCGGCGUGCUUAACACAUGCAAGUCGAACGGAAAGGCCCUGCUUUUGUGGGGUGAUCGAGUGGCGAACGGGUGAGUAACACGUGAGUAACCUGCCCUUGACUUUGGGAUAACUUCAGGAAACUGGGGCUAAUACCGGAUAGGAGCUCCUGCUGCAUGGUGGGGGUUGGAAAGUUUCGGCGGUUGGGGAUGGACUCGCGGCUUAUCAGCUUGUUGGUGGGGUAGUGGCUUACCAAGGCUUUGACGGGUAGCCGGCCUGAGAGGGUGACCGGCCACAUUGGGACUGAGAUACGGACCAGACUCCUACGGGAGGCAGCAGUGGGGAAUAUUGCACAAUGGGCGGAAGCCUGAUGCAGCAACGCCGCGUGCGGGAUGACGGCCUUCGGGUUGUAAACCGCUUUCGCCUGUGACGAAGCGUGAGUGACGGUAAUGGGUAAAGAAGCACCGGCUAACUACGUG
rnacentral:rRNA from 1 species